rnacentral:rRNA from 1 species
UAUCCCGAUUGCGUAAAGCUCGUAGUUGAACCUUGGGCCUGGCUGGCCGGUCCGCCUCACCGCGUGUACUGGUCCGGCCGGGCCUUUCCUUCUGGGGAACCUCAUGCCCUUCACUGGGCGUGUUGGGGAACCAGGACUUUUACUUUGAAAAAAUUAGAGUGUUCAAAGCAGGCCUUUGCUCGAAUACAUUAGCAUGGAAUAAUAGAAUAGGACGUGUGGUUCUAUUUUGUUGGUUUCUAGGACCGCCGUAAUGAUUAAUAGGGAUAGUCGGGGGCAUCAGUAUUCAAUCGUCAGAGGUGAUUUCCUCGGAUUAAAAAAUU